CGUUUCCUGUCAAUGAAAACCGUACGCUGCUGCCCCCUAAUGGACAAAACAAGUUUAGCUUUUGAGACAUGACUGAAGCUCAACGUCGUUUCCAACCAGCUCGGAUAAUGUAGCUCAGGUACACAGCCGCUGUCCACUGUAGGUAUGCACGUUGAAGAAAUACAUUAACCAGAAACCACCGGGACACACUCUUAAGGAACCAUGAAUUACGCUCGCUUUCUGACAGCAGUCAGUGGAGCCAGAAAACCCUCCCCGAUAAGACUGCUGACCGAGCUCCAGCAGCGGUCGCCUCCGUCCCUCAUCUCUCUGGCCGGUGGCGCGCCAAACCCGAACACCUUCCCCUUCCAAUCGGCGACCAUCAAGGUCAAAAACGGCCAGACGGUCACCUUCGAUGAGACCGCGAUGAAGAGGGCCCUGCAGUACUCCGCUUCUAACGGAAUCCCCGAGCUGCUGACGUGGAUGAAGAACCUGCAGAAGGACCUGCACAAUCCGCCAACCAUCGGCUACAGCCAGGAGAAGGGGCAGAUGGACAUGUGUGUCACCACGGGGAGCCAGGAGGGGCUCUGCAAGAUAUUUGAGAUGCUGGUUAACCCUGGAGACAACGUUCUCCUGGAUGCGCCCACAUAUUCUGGCACGCUUGCAGCGCUCCAGCCUCUUGGCUGUAACAUCAUCAACAUUCCCAGCGAUCAACACGGCAUGAUCCCCGAAGCCCUGAAGGAGGUUUUGUCUCGCUGGGACCCGUCAGAGGUGCGCGAGCCCAGCAGCACGGCUCCCAGAAUCCUCUACACCAUCCCAAACGGAGGGAACCCCACCGGCGCCUCCAUGACGGCGGAGAGGAAGAGGGACAUCUACAAGCUGGCCCAGCUCUAUGACAUCCUCAUCAUCGAGGACGACCCCUACUACUUCCUUCAGUUUGAAAAGCCGUGGGCUCCCACCUUUCUGUCCAUGGAUGUGGACGGCAGGAUCAUCAGGACCGACUCCUUCUCUAAGAUCCUGUCAUCAGGCCUGAGGAUUGGUUUCGUCACGGGUCCCAAACCGCUGGUCGACCGGAUCGUGCUGCACAUCCAGGCCUCUACCAUGCACACCAGCACCUUCACACAACUCAUGGUGUCUCAGUUGCUGCACAGCUGGGGACAAGAUGGCUUCCUCCAGCACAUAGACAGGGUAAUUGAGUUCUACAGGACGCAGCGCGACGCCAUGAUAAACUCAGCUGACAAGUGGCUCAAAGACUUGGCCGAGUGGCAUGCCCCGUCAGCAGGCAUGUUCCUGUGGAUGAAGCUAAGGGGCGUCGCUGACACCCAGCAGCUCAUUAUGGAGAAAGCUUUGGAGAAAGAGGUGCUGCUGGUUCCCGGAGGCGUGUUCAUGAUCAACAGCAGCGACCCCUGCCCCUACGUCAGAGCGGCCUUUUCCCUCUCCACGCCAGAGCAGAUUGAUGAGGCUUUCAGAAGACUCUCUUUGCUCAUCAAAGAGGCUUUGUGACCAGAGCUUCCAUCUUUCGGGGGCACAUGUGGGAAUUUUUUUUAUUUAUUGUUUGGUGCAAUUGUGAAAGUUUCUAAUUACCUCACUUUGGAUUGUAACCAAAGUCAAAUUUAAAAGUUCUCACUGGCAGGGAAGGCAGGGAAUAAGUUUUAUAUUGGUUAUUAUCAACUUCUUUAAUAUCUGCAGAUUGUUUUUCUCUUCUUUGGUUCAUUUGGGGUUUGUUUUGUUUUGUUUUGUUUUUGUUUUUUUUUGUCAGAGACAAACAGAACUUCAAAGUUUUUAGUGAGAAGUAGAAUAAUGUAUCCAUCACAUGUUCACAUGAACUGUGGGUGUGACGUGUUGGGUCAUCAUGUGGAAGCAGGUGAAUGUAACCGACAUGUCCAGUGGAAACUCAUCAAACCCAACAAAUGUUGACGCACAAAACCCUGCUGGACAAACACCUUAAGAGAAAGCUGCUAUAUAAAUCAGUCUCAGUGUAUUUCUUAAACGUGUGUCUCAGUUUUGGUUGAUUUAUAAGGGUUAUUUUAUUGAUUUAUUUUUUUAAUAGGGCUUUUAUAAAGAGAUUGUAACUCAAUGGUAGUCGAUACCUCACUUUCACUUUGAUGAAUCAGUCACUGGAUUUACUCUAAAAGCUACUUGGGACGUGUCAGAUUUCCUCUAUGUUAAGAAAACUUCAAUCUGAAAAUGUUACAGCCAUCAAAUUAAAUAUUCAGUGUUUUUCUUAGCAGUUUUUGAUAUUUUUUUUUCAUUUUGCAGUGAAGAUCAUGGACUGCCAUGAUCCACAACAAUGAUCAUUAGAUAAUUUAAUAUUCAUACCUCUAGUGGGAAACCAAAACACCAUGACGUUCUCCGAAACAGAAAAAUUUCUUCUUAAUGCCUCUGCCCCACCACAGCAUAUCUGACUUGACUUUCAAUGGCUUGAAAAUAUUGCUCUCCGUGAGCGAGCCAAGUGGUUAAAAAUAGGAUCACCAGAUAAGCCACCAUUGUUAGACACGUCAACAACGCCGUAGCGUGAGCUGACACGUAUUAUAGUGCACACGUGACUUGGUAAUAACAUUUAUUAACCCCAAGUAACACCGUACACACGCUGUCUGCACUGAUGGCGUUUCACUUGCCUCAACGGGAAGCUGAAACUGACUGCAAGAUCCAUUUUUGUAACUACACCCAGUCCUGAUGCAGCACAACACUGUGAACUCCACACCCCUGAUCCCAAUGCAUGUGCUGUGUUCAACAGACGUGCAUCAAACAGGACACGCAUAGCUACAACGUGUGGCAAGUCGAAUGUUACGCGUUUAGAGUCACGUAGCAUUCAGAUUUCAGAACACCAGCCUACACGUAAGGCGGGAAACGGCGUGACAGCAGCUGUAGAAACACCAAUCAGUGGCUAGUUAGGUUUUGUAGAUGUAGUUUACGAUUCUGGGGCAGACUUUUCUGAAUGCAGGGGUGUCAGUGACACCGCUCGAAGUAGACUCUUUGUGGACGAGUCACUUUUCGUACUCGUCCAUCUUUCACUGGCGAUCACAUAACGGCCCCUGCCGAGAACAACAGGGUCCAUCUGUUGCCUGCUCUCCUUCCCUCUGUACUGACUUCCUCCCCGCUGUGCUCAGAUGUAGCUCUUUGUGUUCCAGCGUGACUGAGCUCUCUGAAGUGUUUGAGUACAGCGGGAGCUUUCAUCUGUGAAGGAUAAUGGGGUCAGAAACGAAAUGUCGCUUGUUGCAAACACCUGCAGGAGUGUGGACAAACUAAGCCUCCUUUGUCCUGAACGGAUAGGUUCUGCUCGAUACACCGAACAGUCGUACGAAAAGGAUCAUAUGACGCUUGUAUCUUCCAGCCGAGUAGAGACGACAAAAGGUCAGAGCAGAGGAAAGCAUGGAGAAAGAACGAAUUCAACCUUCGGUAACCCUAAACUCGAUCCAAACGCAUGAAAAGACACAGCUGUUUUUAACACCGGCUUCUAUUCAUGACCAGAGCAUUUUUUAUCUCGGCUCCUGACCGCUCUCUUACGACUUGGUCCUCGGUUUCGACUCGUCACAGCUGCAAGGCUGUCUCUUGCCACGUCUGGGCUUACAAUGUAACAACCUGGAUUAUAUUGACUUAAAUGCGCCUUAUUUCCCUGCUGUCAUUUCUGCAACUCGGACACACAGCGAUCCACUUUCAGAGCCUUUUCAUCAUGCAGCCUUUCAGCUUGAGGGGUUUUUAACCACAGUCCAUUUACCAGCUGCAGUUGCAGUAAGUCAUGUUCAUGCAGACAUAGGCAGAACAGGGUGAGUGGUCCACCACAGGAUUAAAUACCCUUGUGUCAAUACUGUUUUCUGUCUUUGUCCUCCAUUUCCUUGGGCAACCCAUACACUUAAUUCAUGUAGUGGCUAUAAUAUGCAUCCAUCCAGUCUAAGAUUGGGCCACAAGCCCUGGAUGGAAACCCUGACAUUAAACUUAAAAACAAAUGAGUU